GGGCAUGACCAGCAGCUCUCACAGCGCUGUUCAUGCCCCCAUAAACGGGGGCGUGGCUUGCGAUCGCAGCACUUGCCGCGAGGCCAUGCCCCCUUUCGUUAGGUCACGCCCCCUAAACUCGUGAUCCCUCUUCCAGAGAUGUGAAAGUUGGGAGCUACCAUGGUUACCGGAGCGACGACGGGGUGGAGCGCACUGCAAUUGUUGCAGAUUGAUGACAUCAUCUUUCUCUGCCGGAGUGACCGAGCCGAUUAGUGAGCGCACGUAGAGGGGUGGAGGUAUAAAUGUAUGUCAUUUUGAUAAUGUCUUUUGUUCUGAUGAAAGUUGAAAUACACUGAAACGUUAACACA